rnacentral:tRNA from 1 species
UACCAGGGGCGGGAAUCGAACCCACGACCUUCCGCUUACCGGGCAGAUGCCAUGUCCACUAGGCUACCCUGGA